rnacentral:rRNA from 1 species
AGGACGAACGCUGGCGGCGUGCUUAACACAUGCAAGUCGAGCGGAAAGGCCCUUCGGGGUACUCGAGCGGCGAACGGGUGAGUAACACGUGAGCAACCUGCCCUUAGCUUCGGGAUAGCUCCGGGAAACCGGAAUUAAUACCGGAUAUGACUAUGGCCGACAUCAGCCAUGGUGGAAAGUUUUUCGGCUAGGGAUGGACUCGCGGCCUAUCAGCUAGUUGGUGAGGUAACGGCUCACCAAGGCGACGACGGGUAGCCGGCCUGAGAGGGCGACCGGCCACACUGGGACUGAGACACGGCCCCAGACUCCUACGGGAGGCAGCAGUGGGGAAUAUUGCGCAAUGGGCGAAAGCCUGACGCAGCGACGCCGCGUGGGGGAUGAAUGCCUUCGGGUUGUAAACCCUUUCAGCAGGGACGAAGCGAAAGUGACGGUACCUGCAGAAGAAGCACCGGCCAACUACGCGCCAGCAGCCGC